UUUAACGCUUUUGAGGUUUGAGCAAGUUUACAGCUCUUUUGAAACAUGGAGGUUUAGCUGCGGUGUAUUGUAUGUGGAUUGUGUGUUCGUCCGUGGAGUCUCUCCUGGUAAUGUGUAGUUGUUUUGUGAAGUAUUUUGGUCUUAGCCUAGGCGUUACCUAGUGUCACCUAGACCUAGAGCUGCAGGAGCCGUGACGUCGCAGUCCUACUUCGUCAACACGAGGACAUGGCCACGACGGAAUGUGUGGAGGACGCGUGUGUUGAGGUUGUGCACGCGAACGCAGUGACAUCCCCGGGGGAGCGUGAUGUCCUCACUGAUGAUGUUGAGAGUAGGCAUGGGGGUGACGAGAGUCGUAGUUUUAUUCAAACAAGAGCGAAAGAGCGGAAGCACUACACAGAUGAAGACAUUGAUGAUGAUGAGAUUGAGGGGAAGCGCAACUACAAUAUCGAGGAUAAGCUUCUUCGCAGCACCUACAAGGGAAACUAUGUCCAGUACAUGAAGGGACCCGACUUCACCCUGAAGUUUGUCCAGGAGAAUGGCUUGAUGCAGCCAAUACUCUUCAAGGACAAGACCGGGCUGGGGAUGAGGGUCCCGAGUGAAAACUUCAAAGUCAGUGAUGUUAAACAGUGUGUCGGAAGUCGGCGUAUGCUCGACGUGAUGGAUGUCAACACCCAGAAAGGUCUUGAGAUGACGAUGAAAGACUGGGUGCGGUACUACGAGAACACCAGCCGAGACCGCCUCCUCAACGUCAUCAGUCUGGAGUUCAGCCAUACGCGGCUGGAGAACUAUGUCGAGUCCCCCACGCUGGUGAGGCAGGUGGACUGGGUGGACCGAGUGUGGCCGAGGCAUCUCAAGGACUGCCAGACAGAAUCUACCAACAUCAUAGAGAAGAUGAAGUACCCUAAAGUUCAGAAGUACUGCUUGAUGAGUGUGGCGGGGUGCUACACGGACUUCCACAUCGACUUCGGCGGCACCUCCGUGUGGUACCACAUCCUCCAUGGAGAGAAGAUAUUCUGGCUCAUCCCCCCGACAGAGGCAAACGUGGAGCUCUACGAAAACUGGGUGCUGUCCGCCAAACAAGGGGACAUAUUUCUCCCGGACCAGGUGUCGGAAUGUCAGAAGAUCCAUCUCCAGGCCGGCGAUACAUUCAUCAUUCCUUCAGGUUGGAUCCACGCUGUGUACACUCCACGGGACUCUCUGGUGUUUGGAGGUAACUUCCUCCACAGCUUCAACAUCCUACAGCAGCUGCGAGUGGCCGACGUCGAGGAUAAAACACACGUUCCACAGAAAUUCCGAUAUCCAUUUUACAACGAGAUCAUGUGGUACGUGUUGACUCGCUACGUGGAAUGUGUGGGCAAGAAAUCGUACCUGAAAAAACCCGAGAAGAUCGACCUCGAUGAGCAGCCAGAGUCUCCAGGAUCCUUCUUCACCAGCGAUGAUUCCCGGCCACCUUCCCGGAACCCCGACUCCCGGCCGCCAUCCCGGAACCCAGAAGAACAUUCACCGGUCGACUUUUCAAAGAUCAAGCUGGAGAAGGAUGAAGAACAGAAACUGUCCAAGAGCAUCACCAUCCCGCUUACUAGAAUUGAUGAUUCUGGGAUCAAGAAGUCACAAAGUGAUGACGAAUCGUUGAGGAAUUCAAGAUCAGUUCGGAAAUUGUCAACAGACUCGGUGCAUUCUGAAAAUGGUUUUGCUGAAAAUGGUGACAUGGACAAGAGAAGCAGUGAUGGUGGGAGGCGGUGGAUACAUUUGACCAAGUAUGAGUUGGACGGACUUGCCAAGCUGGUGGAGAAGGUGGAGAACUUACCGCUCAACAAACGGGGGGUUCCCAAAGAUCUCCUGGACCCCGACGCGGUGAUAAGGGAUGUCAGGCAACUUCUGGCAGAUCACAAGUACGACAACAUGAAGGCGGCGGCAAGUGGAGAGCCCACGUGCUGGGUGCCGGAAACCACCAAGAAAGUGAAGAAGCUGAAGACAACAACGACGUACGUAGGAGGGAAGACACCAAAAGGCAGCACAGCGAACAAAGUGGCGUCUGGAAACCGGCGGCGACGCACAAGGUGCAAGAAGUGCGAGGCGUGUACGAGGUCCGACUGCGGGGAAUGCAACUUCUGUAAAGACAUGCGCAAGUUCGGGGGCCCUGGCAGGAUGAAGCAGUCCUGUAUCAGCAGGAAGUGUAUGGCGCCUGUGUUGCCGCACACUGUCACCUGCUGCAUCUGUGAGAAGGACGGCAAGAUGGCGAGUGAGGACAACCCGGACGAGAUGGAGACAGUGGUCAUGGAGUGCAGCCUCUGUUGGGAGAUCGUCCAUCCCGCCUGUCUCAAGGAGAAGCACGACUCUCUAGACAGUGAUGGCAUCGUCAACGAGGACCUCCCCAACAGCUGGGAGUGCGCCAAGUGUUGUAACGAAGGAAAACAGGGGCAGCUCAAGCCUAAAACACCUAAACCAGUCGGCCGACCUAAAGGAAUUGACAGUAGACGGUCGUCCGCCAGCAGUGUGGGUGACCUUGACGUGAAGGAGGAGGAGGUCGAGUUGGAGGUGACCUUGGAGGCGACCUUGGACAACAACAACACAAAGAUGGCGCCAGUGAAGGCCGUCGAGGGAAAGAGGGUCACAUCCAAGGAAACACCAGCUCCCCCGAAACCCACGCCCUCCCCAACACCCCUCCCCACACCACCCAAGCUCAUUAAACGAGAGAAACUUGUCCAACAUCGAGUUAGCCAACAGAGGGCGCUGAAGAGAGACAGACUGAAGCAUGUGAGACGUCUGCAAUCGUCCGACACAGUCAAGAGAGUUCUGCCUCAAGUGCGAGCUACCAUCAUCCCAAAGUCUCCUCCUCAGUUCAUCAGUCGGAGCAGCAAACGGGCGUUAACAGACAGCAGCGACGAAGACGACGACGACGAUGAUGACGAUGCCCCUAGUAGAAAGCGUCCCCGCCGAGAGGGCCGCACGCGAGCUCGCAUCAUGGCCGCCUCCCGCACCAAACUACGGCCUCGCUUCUUCAAGACGGCUGGUCGUGGACAGGACAGAGGUGUGGGUCAGCUGCAGACAUCGCCUGCCAAGCGAGGCUGUCAUGGUGGAGGUCAAGGGUCAAGUGGCCAUCAGAACAAAUCACCAAAGGGAAAGGGUUCAAACAGGGACCGAUCGAAUGAAAGGUCCAAUCCCCCAUCCGACAGAGGUGAAGGUCAGAAUCCUGAUCAGCCGGCUGGGUUUUCAGGGUCAAGGUCAAGACGUGGGGAUGGAGCAGGUCCUGUGUGUGAUAAGGAAUUACGGGUAGUGAUUAACAGAUAUGUUGUACGUCCUGCGCCAAUCCCACCGCCAGCAGAUACAGUGGAGCUGGACACGGGAGACGUCCAUGUUCUCAAGCGCCAGAUGUGGAUGAGUGUGUUUAAGAAACUGGAUUUGGGCGACUUAGCCCGGUGUUUGUGUGUGUGUAAGACGUGGAAUCGGUGGUGCAUCAACCGAUGUCUGUGGAAGGAGAUCGAUCUGCGACAGACACGAAUCCGACAGAGCCACCUGGUGGGGAUUGUUCGUCGACAGCCGGAAUCUCUGAUCCUGGCACGGAGUGUCAUGACCCCUAAACAGUUAUCCUGGCUCGUAGUUCGUCUGCCUCAACUCCACCAUCUUGACUUGUCGUAUCUGUCAUGGGGAACUAUUGGCGGCCUCUGCUCCUCUUCCUGCCCCCUCCUACGCUCCCUCUCCCUCAACUGGGCCGUCGGACUCAGCGAGGACUCCUUCCGCGACCUUGUCCUUCCUCCAGCAGACAGGAAGCCUGCUCUCAAGGUCAUCAGCCGCCUCCACAAGGUUCACACGCUGUCAUUGGCUGGAACUGAGGUUACUGACCAAUCAAUUGAGAUCCUAUUGCAGCACAUGCACAACGUGGAGAGCCUGAACUUGAGCUACUGCGUCCAGCUGACCAAUGCCACCGUGGUGGCGCUGACCAAGAGGGACAGUCCCUUGAUGAACAAGCUGAAACAGCUUGACCUCUCAGGAUGUCUGCAGAUAACGGAUCACGUGUUUCACUUCCUGAAAGCAUGCUCCCAACUGGAGACCGUCAAGUUUCACGGCUGUCCGAAAGUCACACGGCAUGCAUGUCAAAAGUUUGUGGAUUCCUACAUCUGCCAUCAGCUCUCCGUACAGGUGGAUAAAAUGAUUAUCACCACGCCUGACACAAGUGAUGGUUAGACAGGCAAUGGUGUGGGAGGGUAAUGUAUAGCGUGAAGCCAGUGGUGUUGAGACCGGCAAUGGUGUAGGAGGGUAAUGUAUAGCGUGAAGCCAGUGAUGGCUAGAGCAGAGGGUAGGGUACAGUCUGAAAUCAAGUUUUAAAUGUUGAUAUUAUUUGUCUUAAUGGUGAUAUAUUCUGUGUAUCACACAAUGAUGGGAGUGACCAUUUGACAAAAUUAAAAAAAAUAAAAUGGAAAAAAUAAAUUGCCCCAAUUUCUUUAAUUUGCUCGAUGAAAAUUAACUUCUUGUGUCACAGAUGCCAAAUAUAGAUCCUGUUGUGCUAAACAGAUUUAAACUAUAAUAGUGGUGGGAGGAAAGUGAGGGUUUGGACUCAGGUCAUGUUGAUAUAAUAAUUUUGAUUUCGGAGUGGAUUAUCCUUGUAAGGGGAGACAGACUGAGUGAGAUAUUUAGAUCUGAUGCGGGUGACAGGUUACUUUAGUUUUCUUUUGGUAAGAAUCCUUGUGAACAGAGGACGCAGAUUCAUUCCAGCAGUGCACGAGAUGGACACAUCCGUAUACAGUUUCCUUGUGAGGUGAGGCCACUGGGUGGAAAGGAGUCUGUGUCAGGUGUAGAUAGGUGACACUCUGUGGGACAGCCGUGUUGGGGAGGCCGUGCAAGGUGGAUAUGUGACACUCUGUGGGACAGCCGUGUUGGGGAGGCCGUGCAAGGUGGAUAUGUGACAAUCUGUGGGACAGCCGUGUUGGGGAGGCUGUGUCAGGUGCAGAUAGGUGACGCUCUGUGGGACAGCCGUGUUGGGGAGGCCGUGUGAGGUGGGACAGCCGUGUUGGGGAGGCCGUGUGAGGUGCAGAUAAGUGACGCUCUGUGGGACAGCCUUGUGAGGUGCAGAUAUGUGACACUCUGUGGGACAGCCUUGUGAGGUGCAGAUAUGUGACACUCUGUGGGACAGCCUUGUGAGGUGCAGAUAUGUGACACUCUGUGGGACAGCCGUGUUGGGGAGGCUGUGUGAGGUGCAGAUAUGUGACACUCUGUGGGACAGCCAUGUUGGGGAGGCCGUGUGAGGUGCAGAUAAGUGACGCUCUGUGGGACAGCCUUGUGAGGUGCAGAUAUGUGACACUGUGUGGGACAGCUGUGUUGGGGAGGCAGUGUGAGAUGUAGAUGCGUGACACUCCCAGCUUAGACAUAGCAUGUCGCUGUUAAGGAGGCCGCGUGAGGUGUGGGGCCAUGUUGGGAAGCCAAGUUAGGUGAGGGGAGUGUCCAUUUUGCAGAAGGCCUUGUCAGUGGAUGGAUGUUUUGAUACAGAAUGACGAUGUGGGUGGAUGAAUGCUAUAUUGUUGUUGGAUGUUGGCAUGAAACGUUCAGAACUGAAGUUGACCAUCCUCAAAUAGUGUUGUCCGUUUUAUUAUGAUAAAUACCCAUUUGUAACAGUGCUUCUUGUUGAUUUCAGUUGACAUGUUAAAAAUAGCCAUCCAUUCAAAUUACAAUCAUGCAAGAGAAAUUUGGCAUUGAGAUGGGGAUAUCCAUUCACAUGUGAAUCUCUCCUAGGGUGGGUCCAGGGUUUGUAUCAUGAUAGAAGGAUGUGAUACACUGGGUGAUGGAGGUGCGGUGAACAUGUGGUGAUUGUGUGCUGCGAGUAGAACUGAUCAUUCAGACUGUGGACUG
rnacentral:misc_RNA from 1 species